CUACAUGAGUUGCAGGGAUCAAACAGGUCACCAUCUGCUUCAGUGACAAGUAUUUUACCCACUGAACCAUCUCACUGGUCUCCUGGUAGAUUUUUAAGGUGGUAUAAAAGGGACAAGAGAAAAAUAAGAAUAAGAAGGAGGAGGAGAAAAAUAAAAUGAAGGAUUAAGCUUUGCCUCCUCAGGUAAGCCUCCUGUGUGUGUGUUUAGCAUUUGCCGACUCCUCAUCUCCUCUCCAGAAUCUGAUUUUUCUGCACCAGUGCCUUAACCCUACGGAACUGGAGGCUGAGGCAGGAGGAUUACAAAUCCAGGGCCACCCUGAG
rnacentral:lncRNA from 1 species